rnacentral:sRNA from 1 species
ACUGGCGCCGGGUCGGUCCGGGUAGGCGCAGCGGGACUGGACCUGGGUGCCGAGCGGAGCCGCUGCCAUGGGCCUGGGCGUCAGCGCUGAGCAGCCCGCAGGCGGCGCCGAGGGCUUCCACCUCCACGGGGAUGUGGAACCAUCUUCACCUGCUGCCCUUGCCGGCCUGCGCCCCUACACAGACUAUGUGGUUGGUUCGGACCAGAUUCUCCAGGAGGCCCUGCUGCAGGCACCUGGCUCCUCCAUGGAGGAUCCCCUUCCUGGGCCUGGGAGUCCCAGCCACAGUGCUCCAGACCCUGAUGGACUUCCCCAUUUCAUGGAGACUCCUCUUCAGCCCCCACCUCCAGUGCAGCGAGUUAUGGACCCAGGUACUGGGCAGGCCCUGGAGAGGAGUGGGCCCCAGGCUUGGGGCUGGACUUUGGCAGCUAUGUCAAAACUUUCCCCAGGCCUUGCUGACCCCUCAUAUCUCAUGUAUACGAAGAUAUUUAAUAGUUGCAUAUCAUCCAAUCUAGUAUACAGAUGGGGAGUCUGUAGUCCAGAGAAGAGAGGUAGC